GACGAACGCUGGCGGCGUGCUUAACACAUGCAAGUCGAACGAAGUGGCGAACGGGUGAGUAACGCGUAAUCAACCUGCCCUUCAGAGGGGGACAACAGUGGGAAACGACUGCUAAUACCUCAUGCUGAAGGAGGGGAUUGCGUCUGAUUAGCUGGUUGGGGGGGUAAAGGGCCACCAAGGCGAUGAUCAGUAGCCGGGCUGGGAGGAUGAACGGGCAAAAUGGGACUGGGGCAAGGCCCAGACUCCUACGGGAGGGAGCAGUGGGGAAUCUUCCGAAAAGGAGCGAAGUCUGACGGAGGAACGCCGCGUGGUUGAUGACGGCCUUCGGGUUGUAAAGCUCUGUUAAUCGGGACGCGGUACCGGAAUAGAAAGCCACGGCUAACUACGUGCCAGCCGCCGCGGUAAUAC
rnacentral:rRNA from 1 species